rnacentral:misc_RNA from 1 species
GAAAUGCGAUAAGUAGUGUGAAUUGCAGAAUUCAGUGAAUCAUCGAAUCUUUGAACGCACAUUGCGCCCCUUGGUAUUCCAUGGGGCAUGCCUGUUCGAGCGUCAUUUGUACCUUCAAGCUUUGCUUGGUGUUGGGUGUUUGUCUCGCCUCUGCGUGUAGACUCGCCUCAAAACAAUUGGCAGCCGGCGUAUUGAUUUCGGAGCGCAGUACAUCUCGCGCUUUGCACUCAUAACGACGACGUCCAAAAGUACAUUUUUACACUCUUGACCUCGGAUCAGGUAGGGAUACGCGCUGAACAUAAGC